GUCUCAAUCUGCACUUCACUCAAAGCCUGUGGGUACGGGCCACUCACUCACUGGUCCUGGCUCCAAAAUAACUCAGCAGAAACGAGUUUCCAACUAAAAAUCCCCUCGAAUGUCUCCCAGGGAAGAAAUAUAGCUCCUAUAAUUAAAGGAGGCAACGGCCAGAGGGGGAAUGCAGCCGGCAGCCAAAAAAAAAAAACAGGUGGCCAGGAAGAAAGUAGGAUGCAGACAGAAAUUAUUUCAAAAUGGGGAUAAAGAACUAAAUGGAAACAUAACCUACUUAGUAGAUUCAGUUAUGAGGAAUUUUCACCUAGAGGAAUCCACGACCUUCACCAAACAGCAAUUUCUGGGGAGGUAGAUGAUGGGGGUGGUGCAGAGGGAGUAUAAGCAGGUGAACAUUUCAGUAAGGCAGUAAGAAGGUGAGAUGUG